ensembl:lncRNA
AAGAGCACUGAGAUAAAUGACGGCCUGUUAAAUUUAUAUUAAAAGUCUUCUGUGUCCUUCUGUAGGAGUGUAAGUGUUUGGUGAGUGACGUGACAUUCAGCCAAGUAUGGUGACCCAUACUCAGAAUUAGUGCUCUGCAUUUAACCCAUCCGAAGUGCACACACACAGAGCAGUGAACACACACACACACUGUGAACACACACCCGGAGCAGUGGGCAGCCAUUUUAUGCUGCGGCGCCCGGGGAGCAGUUGGGGGUUCGAUGCCUUGCUCAAGGGCACCUAAGUCGUGGUAUUGAAGGUGGUGAGAGCAACUUGAGGCCACGGUCAGCUUUGUUUCAGUAUUAGAUACAGCAUGGGCACCAGUUCUGACUCAACUAUUUUGUUUUGUUGUAAUUUGUUCCACUGUUAACCAUAAUCCUCGUGUGGACAGAGAGUGAGUCUGUGUGAGCUGCUGCUUCUCUGUCAGUGAGUUACUAAUCAAAGACUGCUCACAUCUCACACACCAGUGCUGUUGAGUAGGAUUUAUAUAAUGCUCUAAGAUUUAUUUAUACUUGUAUUAAUACUAUUAAUACCUUUUAUUUUUAUAUUUCAGUUUUCUUUUUAAUGUUUUUUUUUCUUUAUAUAUAUUUAUAUGGCUUUACUUGAUUUUUAUUUCAGUUUAUUUUAGUAAAUUUUGUACUUAAGCCUAUUUCAUUUAGUUUUUUUAAAAAAAUGUUUUUUUAUUUAUUUAUUUUUUUUGGCUGUCAUUGGAGAAAGAAACUUUUUGCAUUCAGGUGGUUUAGUUUCAGGACCAUGCUAACCAGCCAAACCUUCAUCACUUGUAUGGACAGACACAGGCUAUACGAAUACCAACUGUUUGUAAUUGGAUAAAUGCAAAAACGGCAGCAAAUGCUGUUUCUAAUGGCAAAACCUAGAUGUCUGCAAAUAUGGCCAGAAGCUGACACUGCCUGCUUGUGCUGAACCGUACUGGGUAAGUUUUGCUUCAUUGCCUCCUCUUAUGAUUUGAUAACUUUUUUGGGUGGCUAUAAUGCUGGCUUUGCACUUAAUGAGAGAACUGUGACCCUCUAUGGAACUGGACAAUUGGGUAAAAGAACUGCUGCAACAAGCAUUUAUGCAAGGCCACAAUUUAAGUAACAGUUGAUUCUUGCAUUUAGGGAGAAGAAAUCAGCAAAUUAGUUGAGAAUUUUGGUGUUAAUUGAAUCAAAAGAAAUUUACGGUAGAUGAGCAAUCAGUGUUGUAUUGAGUGUUGUAUCAACAAAUGCAAUCUUCAUAUGAAAACGUGGGGUAUAUACGGUGCAUAUAUAAUGGUGUCUUAAAUUCUGAGACCUCUAGAUAAUAUAUUAGAAUAUAGUGAAAAUAUUAGCCUGACAGUCAGAGUGGAAAGCUGAACUGAAACUAUUUAUAUAGUAUUUAUGCACUAUCAUAGUUUUUUUUUUUUUAAAGAAAUUCAUAUUUUUAUUCAGAAGGAUGCAUUAAAUUGAUUGCAAGCGACAGUACAGAUUUCAACUUCACUGUUUUCAACUGUAAUAUUAAGAUAUAUUUCAUGACCAACAAAGCAGCUUAAUAAAAGAUUUCUA